rnacentral:rRNA from 1 species
UACGGAGGGGGCAAGCGUUAUUCGGAAUUAUUGGGCGUAAAGGGCGCGUAGGCGGCUAGAUGUGUCAAAGGUGAAAUCCCUCGGCUCAACUGAGGAACUGCCUUUGAAACUGUCUGGCUUGAGGCCGGGAGAGGGUAGCGGAAUUCCCAGUGUAGCGGUGAAAUGCGUAGAUAUCGAGAGGAACACCUGCGGCGAAGGCGGGUUGCUGGGCCGACACUGACGCUGAUGCGCGAAAGCCAGGGGAGCGAACGGG